CCAACUUUGUCUAGGAGCUGCCCCGUGAUGCCCUGCGUCGCCCUGUGUCGUUGCCUCGUCGUGGUUCGUAAUAAUUGCGUCGUUGUUUCCAUGCCCAUGGCGUGAACUGCCCCUGCACCUCCAUCGUUGGCUAGUUGAACUCGCCCGUGAUGCUCCAGAGACGUCCCCGCGCCUAUACAAGGAGUGUCCGACCUUCCCCGCACAUCAGCACUCUCUCCCUCGCCUCAUUGUUCACCGGAGUACCUCUCCUUCAUUGUUUCCUCGCCGUUCGUCCACGGUGGUCAUCGGCCUUGGCUUGGGUCCGGCCACCUCAGGCCUCCCCUCGCCUCUCCUCCACGUCCACCGCACUUCCCACACCCCCACGAGCCGCCCCACCACCUUGCCCCCCUCACCGGAGACCCUCCAAGGCUAUGCCCCCACUAACCUGAGCCGCCGCCCCUACCCUCCUCUGGUGCCGCCCUCCCCUCCUCCCCAGGCCUCCUCGGCGCCCGUUUCCCCUCUAAACGGAGUCUGCACUCCAUCCUGCCCUCGCCACCACUCUCGCCCGACCCUAACACCUACCGGAGCCUCUCCAUUGGUCGAAGCCGCCGUCCUCAGCCGCGCCAUGCAUCCCCACUUCCUGCUAUCCCCAGCCUAGACGAAGACCUCCCCUGGACGUGGUGCUCGCCGGCACACCCAUUCAUGCUUUCGCCUUCACCGGAGAUGGCCGGAGCCGGCCGGGUGGUCACUGGCCGCGCCUCUGUCCCGCCCGCCCCUGUUCUUGACGGGGAGGAGGAGGGAGGAAGAAGAAGACAUGGGGAGGAGAUGGAUAAGGUGGCUCCCCCUGUCAGCCGCACAAGCCUGGCCCCGCCACCACCACGUCACAUAGGUCCCUGAGCUUCAACACCUCACAACUUUUCAACCGUAACUCUGAUCGAGCCCCUUCCAAGAGAGAAUCGUCCGGUGUUUCGUUUCCGCGGCUUCACCACACUUCUUCCCGAGUCUCCGUCACCCCCAGG